rnacentral:rRNA from 1 species
GACGAACGCUGGCGGCGUGCUUAACACAUGCAAGUCGAACGGAAAGGCCCUGCUUUUGUGGGGUGCUCGAGUGGCGAACGGGUGAGUAACACGUGAGUAACCUGCCCUUGACUUUGGGAUAACUUCAGGAAACUGGGGCUAAUACCGGAUAGGAGCUCCUGCUGCAUGGGGGGGGGUGGAAAGUUUCGGGGGUUGGGGAUGGACUCGCGGCUUAUCCGCUUGUUGGUGGGGUAGUGGCUUACCAAGGCUUUGACGGGUAGCCGGCCUGGGAGGGUGACCGGCCACAUUGGGACUGAGAUACGGCCCAGACUCCUACGGGAGGCAGCAGUGGGGAAUAUUGCACAAUGGGCGGAAGCCUGAUGCAGCAACGCCGCGUGCGGGAUGACGGCCUUCGGGUUGUAAACCGCUUUGGCAUGUGACGAAGCGUGAGUGACGGUAAUGGGUAAAGAAGCACCGGCUAACUACGUG